CUCUGGACGGGCACAGCAAGGCCUCUUCAGAGCCAGGAACAGGAAGCAGUAAAUGCCCGACCGAGGACAAGCUGAGGGAGGGGUGGACAGUCUAGAUUUGGUGAUUUCAUUGCUGUGCAAACAUUACAGAGUUACUUACACAAACCCAGAUGGUGCAGCCUACUCCAAACCUAGGCUACAUGGACAGCUGAUUGCUCCCGGGCUGCAGAGCUGCACAGCAUGUGACUGUACUGAACACUGUAGGCAACUGUAACACAAUGACACAAACACACAGUAGGCCUACACAGGGUCAGGAUCAUCGAUAUCACUGCCGUCCACUCCACACCUCGUCCCUCCGGAAGGUCUUCAGGGCCGACA